GGGGGUGUAGUUCAGUGGUAGAGUGCUUGCCUAGAACUAGCAAGGUUCUGAGUUCCACCCCCA
rnacentral:tRNA from 1 species